rnacentral:rRNA from 1 species
GACGAACGCUGGCGGCGUGCUUAACACAUGCAAGUCGAACGGAAAGGCCCUGCUUUUGUGGGGUGCUCGAGUGGCGAACGGGUGAGUAACACGUGAGUAACCUGCCCUUGACUUUGGGAUAACUUCAGGAAACUGGGGCUAAUACCGGAUAGGAGCUCCUGCUGCAUGGUGGGGGUUGGAAAGUUUCGGCGGUUGUGGAUGGACUCGCGGCUUAUCAGCUUGUUGGUGGGGUAGUGGCUUACCAAGGCUUUGACGGGUAGCCGGCCUGAGAGGGUGACCGGCCACAUUGGGACUGGGAUACGGCCCAGACUCCUACGGGAGGCAGCAGUGGGGAAUAUUGCACAAUGGGCGGAAGCCUGAUGCAGCAACGCCGCGUGCGGGAUGACGGCCUUCGGGUUGUAAACCGCUUUCGCCUGUGACGAAGCGUGAGUGACGGUAAUGGGUAAAGAAGCACCGGCUAACUACGUG